GUCCACGCCUUAAACGAUGAAUACUCGAUGUCAGCCCGCAAGGGUUGGUGUCCAAGCUAACGCAUUAAGUAUUCCACCUGGGAAGUACGAUCGCAAGGUUGAAACUCAAAGGAAUUGACGGGGGCCCGCACAAGCAGUGGAGCAUGUGGUUUAAUUCGAUGCAACGCGAAGAACCUUACCUGGGUUUGAAAAGCUCUGUAAACCGAUGAAAGUCGGGUAGUGUAGCAAUACACGCGGAGUACAGGUGCUGCAUGGCUGUCGU
rnacentral:rRNA from 1 species